CUGAAAUCAGGUGGGAUUACCCGCUGAACUUAAGCAUAUCA
rnacentral:rRNA from 2 species